CGUUAUGGUGGGCACUCUAAGGGAGACUGACCGGGUGGACAAACCGGAGGAAGGUGGGGAUGACGUCAAGUCCAUCAUGGCCCUUACGGCCUGGGCUACACACGUGCUACAAUAGGUCGGGUACAAAGGGUUGCCAAGCCGCGAGGUGGAGCUAAUCCCAUAAAACCGAUCGUAGUCCGGAUCGCAGUCUGCAACUCGACUGCGUGAAGUCGGAAUCGCUAGUAAUCGUGAAUCAGAAUGUCACGGUGAAUACGUUCCCGGGCCUU
rnacentral:rRNA from 1 species